rnacentral:lncRNA from 1 species
AAGACAAAGAACUGAGUCGCUUGGUCAAUUCUUUUUUGUAUCGAGGGAUUCAGAAUUGGUUCUGAUACUAUAUUAUGCAUAAAAUUGUUGAAAAUUCGGUACUCGCCUCGGUACUGGAUUUUGUGAAUCCGCAACCCGCUUCGAUACUGACGAUUGUUGAUCCGGUACCGAUUGUUGGGAUUCUGCAACGGAAGCAUCGAAUCGGAUUUUUACUAUAAAAACGUCUCCUCAGCAAAAGCUGAUACAAUCAUAAAAAAGAGAAAAAACAAUCAAACAUAAAAUAUGCAGGUAAAAUAAGAUUUAUUAAAUAAGAGAAGAUUACACCUGACUCCUCUUCUAUAACUGACUGAAUCUUUAAUUUCUACCUUUUUCUCGUCUUCUAUAAACCUACAAAGAAGACAACCCUUCACUUUUUCUCUCUCACAUGUACCCGUGCACUAGGUGCAUGCAACUCAUGACCAAACUUCUCUUUGGUACGAUCCACCAAUGGCUUCAAGACACCUCACCGUACCCUCCUUAAGAAUUUCAAUUUGGCCGUACUAUCCGAUAAGCUCUCCACCAAUGGAGCAAUUUAUAAAGCUUACAUCUAAUUAUAAACGUAUCCGAAUCCUAAUAUAUAUUAGGAUUCCUACUCCAAUAAAUAUUUAAAUCUUAAUUGAUUUAUCUCCAAUAAUUUAAAUAUUUAUCCUAAUCUAAUUAGAUUUAUACUAUAAUUAAUAUUUAAAUCUUAAUUUAUCUCUAACAGAUUUAAAUAUUAAUUCUUAUCCAAUUAGAAUUAAUCUACAAAUCUAACCAAAUCCUAACAAAAUGGCUCGGAAAUACAUAAAUUAAAGUUAAUUGGGAU